UAGAUAACCCGGUCCUCAUGGACUCUACCAGAGGUUUGUGAAGUACCGUCAUCUAUCUGGUUGGAAUCUACCUCCUCUAAUUCUCAGGGGGGUUGAUUCGAGAUUAUUGAGAGUCGUUGGUUUCCAUAGAUGUUCUUAGCUGAGGAAAUGCAAUGUAGUACCACUAGGGACUAAGCAUGUAGAAGUUAGCAGGGAAUUCACUAAGGACGAGAGUUCGAGUCUCUCCACCUCCAUAC
rnacentral:tmRNA from 1 species